rnacentral:piRNA from 1 species
UAAACAGAUCAGGGAUUGCAAAUGAGCUC